UACGUAGGGGGCAAGCGUUGUCCGGAAUCAUUGGGCGUAAAGCGCGUGUAGGCGGCCCGAUAAGUCCGCUGUGAAAGUCCAGGGCUCAACCCUGGGAUGCCGGUGGAUACUGUCGGGCUCGAGUCCGGAAGAGGCGAGUGGAAUUCCUGGUGUAGCGGUGAAAUGUGCAGAUAUCAGGAGGAACACCAAUGGCGAAGGCAGCUCGCUGGGACGUGACUGGCGCUGAGACGCGAAAGCGUGGGGGAGCAAACAGG
rnacentral:rRNA from 1 species